rnacentral:tRNA from 1 species
GGGGUUGUGGCUCAGAGGUAGAGUGCUCGCCUACCAUGCGUGAGGCACCGGGUACAAUCCUCAACACCA